CCUGGCGACCUCAGCGCGCGGGAACCACCCGACCCCAUCCCGAACUCGGUCGUGAAACCGCGCCGCGCCGAUGAUCGUGUGAGGUUACUCAUGCUAAAGUAGGUCAUCGCCAGGC
rnacentral:rRNA from 1 species